rnacentral:rRNA from 1 species
UACAGAGGGGGCAAGCGUUGUUCGGAAUUACUGGGCGUAAAGGGGCGCGUAGGCGGCCUUCUAAGUCGAACGUGAAAUCCCUGGGCUCAACCCAGGAACUGCGUCCGAUACUGGAAGGCUUGAAUCCGGGAGAGGGGAUGCGGAAUUCCGAGGUGUAGCGGUGAAAUGCGUAGAUAUCUGGAGGAACACCCGGUGGCGAAGGCGGCUCUCUGGGGACGGUACUGACGCUGAGACGCGAAAGCGUGGGGAGCGAACAGG